rfam:Clostridium colicanis DSM 13634 CLCO_contig000032, whole genome shotgun sequence.
GCGCCAUUAGCUCAGUUGGUAGAGCAACUGACUCUUAAUCAGUGGGCCCUGGGUUCGAGUCCCCGAUGGCGCA